rnacentral:lncRNA from 10 species
AGGUAGGUAGAUAGAUAGAUAGAUAGAUAGAUAGAUAGAUAGAUAGAUAGACAAGCGGUAAUUCAUUAGGGGAAGUGGCUCAUAGUAUUACGUAGUCUGAGAAGUCAGUCUCAUGAUAGGCUCUGUGCAAGCUGGAGACCCUGGGUUGCAGGUAGCCUGGCUCGGUCCAAGUCUGAAGGCAUCAGAGCCAGGGAAGCCAAAGGUAUAACUCUCUGUCCAAGGCUAAGUAAGGUGGGAGAGGCUUAGAAGCUGCUGGCACAAGUCACAGAGUCCAAAGACCAAAGAGCCUAGAGUUUUAAUGUCCAAGGGCAGGGUAAGAAGGGUGUCCCCACUCCAGGAGCAACAGAAUUCAUAUUUUAUUUGCCUUUUUGUUCCACAGGGACCCCCAGCCUACUGGAUGUUUCUGAUCACCUUGAGGGUGAAUCUUUCCAAUCAGUCCACUGAGGCACAUGCCAAUCUCCUCGGAAACACCCUCACAAAUACACCCAGAAAUAAUGGUUUUUCAUCUAUCUAGGUUAUUUCUUAAUCCAGUCAAAAUGACACCAAAAAUUAACCAUCACACUAAUGCUUAAUCAAAAGGCUGGUGAGAUGCUACCUCUUUAGGUAGAUUCUGGUAAAUAGCUGGGAACUAUUGAUACCACAACCUCUCUUCCCUCCCAAAGAAAUACUGAUACUUUGGAACUAGUUUUCUUCCUUCUUAUUCUUAUUCCAACUAAGCCUUAGCACACCAUGGUCCAGAAUAUACUGGCUUCAUAUUUGAUUAUCUCUGAGCUCAUAACAUGUCUUCACUUUAGAAGCUGCAGAGAAUAUUUUUCUGAAUUUAUAUAAAUACUCUUUCUUAUUAACUUACAAGAAUGAGCAUGAGUCAUUUAAAAUGUGUGAUUCCCAAUGGAUUUAAUCUACAAUUUGUUCUUUAAAUGCAGAAAAAUAAAUGGGAUAUUGGAGAUGUGUUCUCGUGGAGUUUACCAAAAGAAAACAAUGUACAUUUAAAUUGCAAAUUCAAGAUUUGUUUCACUUUAAAAAGAACCAACCCUGUCUUAAAGUACAAUAGCAUUUUGUGUUAAAGGCUAAAUUACUAAAACACAUUUAUUUAAAAUAAAAUCAUAAUAGUCUCAAGAGCUGCAUCUUAUCACACUUACUUGUCAGCAAAAAAUAGUGUUGUGUACAGAUGGCAGCAAUGAUGUAAUGUAAUGUAUGUCAAGAAUAUUUGUUAAGAUAACAUUGGGGGCCAAGACUUUAUAGCAACUGCAGUCCUUUCUUGGUGAGCUUGCUUUUAAAAAACGAUUUCUCAUCCAUUCAGACAGGUUCUUUUGCUGAAAGUCUCCAAAGACUGUUUCAUUAUCGUACCUUUUCAAUGACUUUCCAUAAAGGAAUACAAGAUGUGAAUCUGGCUUUUAAUAUGUGCCAUUUAAAGUAGUUAUCAAUGAUACAUUAGUCAUUCCAUCCAGUACCCCUGUGAGAUGAGCCAUGUGAUGUCAGAAGUGUGAUGUGCCAUGCUCCACUACAGACAGGAAGUGGAAUAGCCAGGAACUUGAAUCCAAGCCUUCUUAUGCCAAAAUUCUCCUUUGAUACGUGAAGGCAGCCUCAUCACUCCAAAGGUUUCUGGAACUGAAAUAAUAACAUCAUGUCUUGUUAUUGGAACAAUAUAUCAAAAGACAAGCAAAUAUAAAGCUAAUUCUCUGUGGAAUGAUACUUUCAAGUUGGAAUUUAUGUUACAUUAACCUAUUGUUUGAGAGGUUAUAUAUGAUGAUAUUUUUGCCUUAAAUAUUAUUUGACUAGUGUGGGUUUACCAAGCUAACUAUGCCAAUAAAGAAAUUCUGGAAUAUACUUUCUGUUACAUACUUUGAAGGAUUUUUCUCAGUGAGAUAAACUAACAAGUCUAAUUACUUCCA